CAGGAACUGAGGUCAGGCGGGAGGGACGGAACGGCGCUGCCCGCCCCCGGCUGCCGGCACCGGGACCGCCCCGCCGGGCCGCCGCCUCCCGCCCCCAGGGCGCCCGCGGGGAAUGGCGGGGGGUCCCUCAGCGGCCGCUCCCCACAAGCAUCUGGAGAAGCAGAAGCGUUGUCCUGAGAUGCCAGCAAGGAUCGGAGUUUGUCUCAGCGCCUGGGGAAGAAGGUAAAGCUCUCCUGGACUGGGGCGAGAUUAGAGGGGAACGACCCCACUACAAUGCAGUCCUGAGCCUCAAAUAUUUAAGUCUCAUCCCUAACAAGUCACUGGAAGGACCAACAAGCUUAAGUCAGAACCUUUAAAAGAAGCUCAACAGAUCCAGUGCACCUUUUUUUGGAUAUAAAGGAAACAAGCUGCACAGCACCUGCCAGCGGCAGGGGACUCAGAAGCAGCCGCUCCUUUGUGAGGGAUCUCAACGCCAAGCUCUCGCAUCCUUGUUGGCGUGACUCAACGCUUUGGUCGGCAAUCGUGACAGCGCCCUGUCAUUAGUGAGUUCUGUUGCGUUGUGCAAUAGUGGAGCCAGCAUUGCAGCGUGUUCCCCAGGGGUCCUUCCCCCCCAAGGAGAGAAGAUAAUUGACAUGAGGCUGGAGUGAAUCAACAGCCAGCAGGAUUUAAUCCCAUCCUGGUGACAAACCCACCCAAAACGUGGGUCAGUUGGCAAAGCAAUGUCAGGCACGUGCCGAAACCACGAGACUGGCGAGAAGCGAGUCAGUGGACGCGAGCGAGGGCUCGGUCACGGUUCCCCUGCCGACCAUUCUCUGAGCUGGCGUGGUGCAGGAAGCACCGUGAUGCAACUCUCAUAGUUCAUAUAACUCAUACAACACUCACCUCUCUGCACCUGCUCAAAAAACCUUCAUCCGUCACUUCUAAACCUCUGGAGGAGGCCCUUGUCCUACCCUAAUGUGUCCACAAAACAGAACCAAGGGAAGCACGCCGACCCGAAGUCAAUUUUACGUAGAGUCAGAACCUCUCUUGGCCAUAUAAAGAUCUGCAGCUUUAAGUGCUGAUGCCCCGAUUCAGCCUGGGACAAUCCCAAACAUGAACCACACUCAUGGUUGCGCUAAUUUGCACUUGUACACCAGAAUAAUACCACUUUUGUAAAGAAAAAAAGGACAAGGCCAAGCGCUCAAAAUAAUUUUCAAACAUUAAGAGUAUUUAGUCCUUAAAUUGUCUCCCAGACGAAACUACAAACAUUUUAUUUUGGCCACAUGAAAACGCUGAACGGGGCAGUAGCAGCCCAAGCAUUAAAGACUUCCCCAACCUGAAAGCAGACACAAAAUGCAGUUUGGCCCUCCUAAUUAAUACCUGCCUUAAUGACAUAAAGUAACUUGGCUAUAGUAGUGACAACAGCAUCCCGUGUAGAGCUCUGAACACGUGAGGAGGAACCCGCUGUCCAAAAAGCGCUUUGUCACAGCAACUGAUUCACAACCCUUCGUGUUUUUGGGCGUCUCUGCUCUCUGCAUUUCUGAGAUUUAAUGGUCGAAAGCUCGGUGCUCGUCUCAAGGAAAAGUGCGUCUGUUUUACAAGGUUUGAAAAAGGAAUCGCUGCUCCAUGAAACGAAUGCGGCGCUUUGGGUUCAUUGAUUGUGCCACAAGUUUCAGAGGAAGAUCCUCGGCUCCCGCUUUCCAAACCUGUUCACUGACACCAAGAGAAAUUAUUUCUAACUUAAACUCUCAUGAGCUUUCUAGGGAUCGGAUGUCUCCAAAAAAAUAAAGCCAACCAUCUCCUAAUCUGGCUGGAAAUGAGGUGUUUACAUUUUAGCCAGAGAUUUCUCCUCAUUAUGUUUGAAAUAGCAACAUUAAGGAAAUUCUAUUGGCUUUGGAAUAAAAGGGUUUGAGCGCAGGGACGGUGACCUCAGAAAUACCAACCGCAGAAACACAGACAGACUAAUCAAGCAACAUUAUGAUAAAGUGUUUAUUCAUUUUUUUUUUUAAAUAUCAAAUUUUUUACACAUCGGUUUUGUUGAUAAACAGUCCCCCAAUAUUAAAAAGAAAUAAAAAUAAAAAGAAUCAAGUGUGUAUUACUUUGGGCAGAACCACAUCCCGCUCUCCGCUGACACCGACACCGCUCUCCUCCCUCCGGCCACCGCGGGGACAACCGCGGCGUGUUCAGCCCAGGAGAGUAAAUGACACAAAUGCAACCAGCUUUAGGAUUCCUGAGUAUUGAUUCCCUCAAGUUCCUUUAAAUGAGUUCGUAAAACUCUUUAAGCUAAAAAGCAUCGAAGAGCGACCCGAACCGCAACGCGUUCCGAUCGCGGACUAAGCUACAU